CUAAUUACUUAAAUUAUAACCCAUUAUUUUGGUUAAGAUAUUCGAAGUGAAAAUAUGGCAAAUCAUUGUUUCCCAUGAUUACUAUAGAAACAGAAAUGUCUAAAAAUUAAAAUGACUAUCAGCAAUGAAUUAAUAUCAACAAAUCAAAUUACCACAUAAGCUUUACAAAUCACGUGUGCAAUAGCUAAUUCAAGGAAAGGCAGACACGCCCUUAUAAACCAGACAGUCGGAAGCUUCAGGAAUUGCAAAACAUAAUAUUUAAAAAGGAAUAGCAAACAAUGUGUUAUGACAUGUCUUCUUACUAUGACUACUGUCCGUAUGGUUGCUGUGAUGAACAGAAAGACACAAUAUGUUGUAAAUAUUUUGGACCUUUUCUUGGAAUAUCUGUAGCGUUGGCAAUUUUUGUAUCUGUCCUUAUUAUUACUAUUCUUUGCUGUAAACGACAGAAGGGAUCGCCUGGAGAAAUCAUAUCACAAGGAGACAUUAACACCAGCAUGAUUAUUGAAACAUGCACAAUGAAAGAAUGUUCAACUAAAGUCAACGUUAGUAAAGACACUAGCGUUGUUCCUGCGCUGCCACCUUGUUACGCUUCUAUAAACCAUGGGUAUAAAGGAAGUAUAAAUGGAGAAGACCUAUGUGGAAUUAAAUAUAAUAGUCACCAAGACUAUCCACCGCCAUAUCAGCCAUCAGAAAAUAUCUAAAAUUACAAGACGACAACAGAACAACCAGAGGGAAUUUGUCGAAAGUUGUUACAGCCUUUUACUGUGAUUGUCAAUUUAAAUAAUCUUUUGCAUUUUGUCCAAAAUGUAAUGUAGUAAAAUUAAGAAUGUGAAUGGGACAUAUGUCAAAGAGACAACAACUCGACCAAAAAGUAAAUAUUUGCUUAUUCUAUUGAAUUUUACAAAAUAAAAAAAAAUCAUACAAAUAUGAAAAUUAUAUCUAUAUGUGUAUUGAAAGAAAAAAGCAUAUCUA